rnacentral:rRNA from 1 species
UACGAAGGGAGCAAGCGUUGUUCGGAUUUACUGGGCGUAAAGGGCGCGUAGGCGGUUUGUUAAGUUGGAAGUGAAAGCCCUGGGCUUAACCCAGGAAUCGCUCUCAAGACUGGCAGACUCGAGUGUGGAAGAGGUUGGUGGAAUUCCCAGUGUAGAGGUGAAAUUCGUAGAUAUUGGGAAGAACAUCCGUGGCGAAGGCGGCCAACUGGUCCAUAACUGACGCUGAGGCGCGAAAGCGUGGGGAGCAAACAGG